rnacentral:tRNA from 1 species
GGCCUGAUGGUCUAGGGGUAUGAUUCUCGCUUUGGGUGCGAGAGGUCCCGGGUUCAAAUCCCGGUCAAGGCCC